UACGGAGGGUGCAAGCGUUAUCCGGAUUCACUGGGUUUAAAGGGUGCGUAGGCGGGUUGGUAAGUCCGUGGUGAAAUCUCCGAGCUUAACUCGGAAACUGCCGUGGAUACUAUCAAUCUUGAAUAUCGUGGAGGUAAGCGGAAUAUGUCAUGUAGCGGUGAAAUGCUUAGAUAUGACAUAGAACACCUAUUGCGAAGGCAGCUUACUACGCAGAUAUUGACGCUCAUGCACGAAAGCGUGGGGAUCAAACAGG
rnacentral:rRNA from 1 species